GGUGCUGAAGUGACAAAUGCCCUGCUUCCAGGAAAAGCCUCUAAGCAUCAGGUAACAUCAAAUCGUACCCCAAACCGACACAGGUGGUCAGGUAGAGAAUACCAAGGCGCUUGAGAGAACUCGGGUGAAGGAACUAGGCAAAAUGGUGCCGUAACUUCGGGAGAAGGCACGCUGACAUGUAGGUGAAGC
rnacentral:rRNA from 1 species